rnacentral:lncRNA from 1 species
AAUGUCUGAUGUAGUUUAUUGUCCGAGAUGUGAAACAACCUGCAUAAAAUAUGAUGAGCAACACGCCCAAUGCUCCAAGUGCUUCUUCAGUUUCUGUGCUCUUUGCAAGGAAAAACGUCAUUUAGGCAUCGAAUGUAUGACUCCUGAAAUGAAGCUUAUUAUCUUGCAGGUAAUUUUAUAGACAAAUAUUUUUACUAGUUUUACAUGAAGUAAUAAAUUUUUACGUAGAAGUUCCAAUGAGUCAAUUGUUAUCCAAUGAACAAAGGUAUGACAUUCAUGAAAUCUUGUCUUUUUAAUUGUGAUUGAGAUUCUAAUAUUUUUUGUUUAUUCAUGAGUGUCUUUGUCCGAUAGUUUAUGGAAUUGAUUUGGUUAAGCACCUAGCGUAGCUAAGUAAAUAGCUGAACUUGGUUGUAUUUUCUAUUUAUAACCUAUGAUUGUUUUUUUGUUGUAUUCUCAGUUUGCAUCACCAAGUAACUAAGAUACCUUAUGUUGAGGACCAAAAAAAACAAUGCAUAGUAAAGAUACAAUCCAAGUUGUUUUUAUAGAUUAGUGUGGAUGCGAUGUGAUUGGUCAAUGUUAUAAGUCCAUAGCUUCUUAGAACGAAAAAGGAAUAUUAUAUAUAUUAAUUAAUGCAGAAAUGAAGAUAUUAAAUGGAAGAAUUAUAGUAUUACGUAUAAUGAUCAGAAUAAGUACGUAAUUAUAAUGUUCUACGUAUAGUUAAGAAUCUCUAGAUUGUUAAUAAAAUUAUUGUCAAAUCUAUUAUCUGCAGGAACGACAGAAUUCAUCUCAACUGACAGAAGAUCAAAAGCAGAAGGAGCGUGAAAUGAUAAAUGAGAUUCUGAGUGUCAAGGAAAUACUUAAAGAUGCAAAACAAUGCCCUACUUGUAAAAUGGCAAUCUCCAGGACUGAAGGUUGUAAUAAGAUGGUAUGUAACAAUUGUGGAAAGUACUUCUGCUACCGCUGUAACCGGGCCAUUGAUGGAUAUGAUCAUUUCAGGUUCGUGUUUACUAGAAAAAUUCCUAGAUCAU